GAAAGGGUUUAGGGGGAUCACCCAGGGUGGGAUUUGGGGGUUCAGCAACCAGAAGAGUGUAAAAAGCUCUGAAGGGAGGAAUGAGGGAAUGAAGAGAAUGAGAAGUAGCUCUAAAAACCAGGAUAAAACUUGCUGAAACCCAUUCAGAUUUCUCCCUAAAUUUCCUCUAAAUGUGCAAAUGGGCUGGGAUUUGGGGAAAGGGUUUAGGGGAUCAACCAAGGGUGGGAUUUGGGGGUUCAGCAGCCGGAGGAGUGUGCUGAGCCCAGCUGGCCAGCUGCCAGCAGCAGGAUGUCCUUCUUCUCCUUGUGGAACCGGAGCUCCUUCCCGGCCAGCCGGG
rnacentral:lncRNA from 1 species